CACGUGCCAGAGCUCCGCCCGUCGCCACCGCAGGAGCGCCUCUGGGUUGAGACAUCAGUGAGUUCUUCAGGUCUGACCAGCAGGAAACAGCCAGUUCCCAGAACACCCUUUCAGUUCCCAAAGAAGUCUUGAAGAAAGCCAUUCAGGAGAGCUCCAUGUAUAAAAAGGGACAGACCAAGUGUUUUCCUUCCACUUGCAAGCUGUUGCCAUACCUCAGAGUCUAGGAUGCAGAAAAGAAAGGUGGUGAUCAGCUGGCUCAUUCCAGGAAUAGAUGAAAACACAAAAAUGAAGGCACACAGAUGAGAGGUCAUGUACGGACACAAUGAGAAGCUUGCAUCCUCAAGCCAAAGAGAGACACCUCUGUAGAAGCCAAUCAUGAUGACUCUUAUUCUUGGACUUCUAGACUCCAGAACUGUUAAAAGAAACAUUCUAUCAAGAAAUAAAAAACAAAAUUUGGAUAUAAAGUUACCAGGAACUUGAAUAAGGAGAGUCAUCAUCUUUCCUAUCAUGGCAUCCAUUUGGAAGGCCCUGCCCACUACAAUUAUUUUUCCUCUAUUACCAUUUACCUUUACAAUAACACUUAGAUGUCAUAUUCUCCAAAAAAGCACUACCUGACUUCUAUAACCUGGGUCGGUAUUCUUUUCUGUGUCAUCAUAGCACAUGUCUUCUGUGAGAGUAUAAUAAAUGUUUAUGCAGUUUAUUCUUUUC